rnacentral:pre_miRNA from 1 species
AGCCUUCUGCAUCCGUGCUGAGAUCUCGUCACACACCAGACCACAGGGGC